rnacentral:rRNA from 1 species
AUGGGUGAUGCUGAUGACAUAGAGAUGGAUGAGGGAAAGAAACAGAGAGAGUAUGAUGAAGUAGAAGAGGAAGAAACAGAUGAUGAAGAAUCUGAGGAGGAAGAAAUGGUGCAUUACUCUGGUGACACGGAGGUUGAGGAACCUUUUGAAAUGGAUGAAGAUGACAAGGUUGUUUCACAGGAUGAAGAAACUGUAAUUGUACAUGAAGAGAAGAAGAAGAAGAAACAGAAGCUUCCAGUUAGGAAAGGGCCUACAACAAGGACACAUUCAAGUGUAGUUCAAGAGGAGGAACCUGAUUUCCAACCUUCAUCUGAUGAAGAACAGAAAGGAUUGUUGAAGGAGGCUGAUGAUGAUGGUUAUGAGCCAUUGGCAUUUGUGCUGCCAAAGAAAAGGAAGAGCAGGGCAAAGCAGAGGCCUCCUAGAAAAUGGUACAAUGAGAAAAUGGAGGCACCACAUGAGCAAUUAUGUCUACAGAUGUGUUUCAAGGAUCAACAUCAAUUCAGAGAGGCUUUGUUGAACUUACACAUUACUCAAGGCAGAAACUUCAAAUAUCAUAGGAACUCAUAUCAAAGAAUAAUUGUAGAAUGCAACCAAAAACAUUGCAACUUCUUUAUGGUGGCGGCAGUUAUAAAAGGUGAAACUACUUUUGUAAUUAAGAAGAUGAGAAUUAAGCACACUUGCCCUAUUAGUACAGAGACAACAAGGGUAAGUGCCAAGUGGCUUGCACAGAAGUAUGAGUCACUAUUCAGAUCUGAUCUAACAACUGGCAUUCAGACUUUGAUUGAUGCCUGCAUGGAGAAGUAUGGUGUGGAUGUGCCCAAGUCAAUGGCAUAUAGGGCAAAGAACCUAGCUAUUGAUGUUGUGCUAGGAGACCACAAGAAGCAAUACCCUAGGUUGAAAGACUAUGCUCAGACAGUGAUGGAUACAAACCCUGGGAGUAGAGUAGUAGUCACUACUGUAACUCCAACACCCACUGAAAAAAUCCCCCAUCCAGGUCCAAGAUUCCAUGCUAUGUUCUAUUGCAUCAAUGGAGCAAGGGAGGGGUUUCUCAAGGGGUGCAGACCAUUCAUUGGUUAG